AUUGCGACCCGACUUGAACGGAAAUCCUUUUUUUUCAGUUGGACUUCGGCGCUGGCAGAAAAAAGAUUGGGAGUGGAAGGCGGAUAAGUCG
rnacentral:sRNA from 1 species